AAGUAUAGCUAGGGGAGCAAUUUGCUGAGACCUUUUGGAAACCCUUUGAACCUGUGAGUCAAUACUCGCGUAGGGAAGCUUUAAAUAAUAAGG
rnacentral:ncRNA from 2 species